AUUGAACGCUGGCGGCAGGCCUAACACAUGCAAGUCGAGCGGAUGAAGGGAGCUUGCUCCUGGAUUCAGCGGCGGACGGGUGAGUAAUGCCUAGGAAUCUGCCUGGUAGUGGGGGGUAACGUCCGGAAACGGGCGCUAAUACCGCAUACGUCCUGAGGGAGAAAGUGGGGGAUCUUCGGACCUCACGCUAUCAGAUGAGCCUAGGUCGGAUUAGCUAGUUGGUGGGGUAAAGGCCUACCAAGGCGACGAUCCGUAACUGGUCUGAGAGGAUGAUCAGUCACACUGGAACUGAGACACGGUCCAGACUCCUACGGGAGGCAGCAGUGGGGAAUAUUGGACAAGGGGCGAAAGCCUGAUCCAGCCAUGCCGCGUGUGAAGAAGGUCUUCGGAUUGUAAAGCACUUUAAGUUGGGAGGAAGGGCAGUAAGUUAAUACCUUGCUGUUUUGACGUUACCAACAGAAUAAGCACCGGCUAACUUCGUG
rnacentral:rRNA from 1 species